rnacentral:rRNA from 1 species
GACGAACGCUGGCGGCGUGCUUAACACAUGCAAGUCGAACGGAAAGGCCCUGCUUUUGUGGGGUGCUCGAGUGGCGAACGGGUGAGUAACACGUGAGUAACCUGCCCUUGACUUUGGGAUAACUUCAGGAAACUGGGGCUAAUACCGGAUAGGAGCUCCUGCUGCAUGGUGGGGGUUGGAAAGUUUCGGCGGUUGGGGAUGGACUCGCGGCUUAUCAGCUUGUUGGUGGGGUAGUGGCUUACCAAGGCUUUGACGGGUAGCCGGCCUGAGAGGGUGACCGGCCACAUUGGGACUGAGAUGCGGCCCAGACUCCUACGGGAGGCAGCAGUGGGGAAUAUUGCACAAUGGGCGGAAGCCUGAUGCAGCAACGCCGCGUGCGGGAUGACGGCCUUCGGGUUGUAAACCGCUUUCGCCUGGGACGAAGCGUGAGUGACGGUAAUGGGUAAAGAAGCACCGGCUAACUACGUG